rnacentral:rRNA from 1 species
ACGAACGCUGGCGGCGUGCCUAAUACAUGCAAGUAAACGCUGAUGUUUGGUGUUUACACUAGACUGAUGAGUUGCGAACGGGUGAGUAACGCGUAGGUAACCUGCCUCAUAGCGGGGGAUAACUAUUGGAAACGAUAGCUAAUACCGCAUAAGAGUGAUUAACACAUGUUAGUUAUUUAAAAGGAGCAAUUGCUUCACUGUGAGAUGGACCUGCGUUGUAUUAGCUAGUUGGUGAGGUAAAGGCUCACCAAGGCGACGAUACAUAGCCGACCUGAGAGGGUGAUCGGCCACACUGGGACUGAGACACGGCCCAGACUCCUACGGGAGGCAGCAGUAGGGAAUCUUCGGCAAUGGACGGAAGUCUGACCGAGCAACGCCGCGUGAGUGAAGAAGGUUUUCGGAUCGUAAAGCUCUGUUGUUAGAGAAGAACGUUGGUAGGAGUGGAAAAUCUACCAAGUGACGGUAACUAA